rnacentral:lncRNA from 1 species
UACCAAAGGAUGCUCUGUCUCCAGAAUAGUCAAUUAAAAAAAAAAUGUUUGAUUCCUGCAAAAUCAUGAUCAGAAACAGCAGCACUACUCAGAAUCUAAGGAAGGAAGCAGUGACUUACUGCUGAAAAACUUCACAGACAGGCAGUAAGCUACCAAGUUCUGCUUCAUGCACUGAAAGAAGGAAACCAAAUGCCUAUCAUUCAACUUGAAGAACAGGACAAUAGGCAAGUGUUCCUCAGCUAAUACUGAGCAAACUCCAAGGUGUCUCUUCAGGGUACAAAUCAAAAGGUAAAGGGCAUCCAUUAAUUUACCUGAAUUAGAGAGACAGGGGAGAGGAAUCCCCUUGGCUCUUGCUUUUUACUUGUGCCAGAGCUGUUUGAUGGUUGUGACACUAGGAUAGAACAAGCAGGAGGGAGCUAAAAAAUCCGUCCAUAACCUUUGAAAAUGAGCUCAGGAGUCUAUGAGUGAGUGGGUAUCGUUCAACUCACGCCAAAGGAUGAGGUGCCCCUGCAAGGAAAAAUUAACUAUCCAUCUCUUCUUUAUGACUGUAUGUCACCAGGAACUUUUUGAAGGUCAUUUGAGACAUGAAUCUGACUUCUCAGUUGUUUUAAUUGCCUGGAUGAGCUCACCUCAAAAUCACACAAAUACCAUCAAAGAAGAAAGAGAGAAGAUGAAGAAGGGACAGGGGGUCAACUGCAAUCCCAGAUGGCAGCUGCCUCUGUGAAUGUGAGUUCAGGAUCCCAGCAGACCUCUAUUUAUAGUCUUUCCCAGAGGGGAGGGGAGGUGGUUUAGUUCUUGCCUUCUGGAAGAAAUAAGAGCAUUGCCAUCUUGCCAGAGAUCAGUGCUGCCAGUCUGUUUUGCCAGGAAGCAUUUGGGACUGCAGAGUAAAUGCUCCCUUGAUGAAAUAUGAAGAAUUUGCAUUAUCAGAUUACUCCACCAAUCUAAUGCACGUUCUGUUCCUGACAGCAGCCAGCACAGGUUCUUCAGAGACUAAAGUCCUUAUAAUAAACAAUUUUGCAGCCAACA